UACAGAGGUCCCAAGCGUUGUUCGGAUUCAUUGGGCGUAAAGGGUGCGUAGGCGGCUCAGUAAGUCGGGUGUGAAACCUCCAGGCUCAACCUGGAGACGCCACCUGAUACUGCUGUGGCUGGAGUCCGGUAGGGGAGCGUGGAAUUCCUGGUGUAGCGGUGAAAUGCGCAGAUAUCAGGAGGAACACCAGCGGCGAAGGCGGCGCUCUGGGCCGGUACUGACGCUGAGGAGCGAAAGCGUGGGUAGCAAACAGG
rnacentral:rRNA from 1 species